rnacentral:rRNA from 1 species
CUCUUUUUGAAAAUUAUUUAAGGUCUGACCUGCCCUAUGAUUUUUUAAAUGGCCGCAGUAUUUUGACUGUGCAAAGGUAGCAUAAUCAUUAGUUUCUUAAUUAGAAGCUGGAAUGAAUGGUUUUAUGAAAAACUAACUGUCUCUAAUUUAAUGUUUUAGAAUUUUAUUUUUGAGUGAGAAAGCUUAAAUUUUAUGGAAAGACGAGAAGACCCUAUAGAGUUUUAUUUAGUUUAAUUUUAUUUUUGGUUGGGUUUUUACUUAUUUAAUAUUGAUCUGAAUUUUACUGGGGUGGUAUAAAAAUUUAUUAAACUUUUUAUUUUAAAAACAUUGAUUUUUGGUUAUUUGAUCCUUUAUUUUGGAUUGUAAGAUUAAAUUACCUUAGGGAUAACAGCGUAAUUUUUUCUUAAAGUUCUUAUUGUUGAAAAAGUUUGCGACCUCGAUGUUGGAUUAAAAUUUAUUUUUGGUGCAGAAGCUGAAAUUUUGAGUCUGUUCGACUCUUAAAAUUUUACA